CUGCUAUGAUGUCACAAUAAUAUGAAUGAGAGACUUGGUCUUUUCUUCAUCCAUUGGAAACGCAAACAAUGUUUGCCAUCCAUGCAAAAGUACCAAAAACUUGUGAGAAUUUUAUGAAAUUAGCUGCUAGAGGAUAUUAUAAUGAUACAAUAUUUCACAGAUCUAUACGAAAUUUUAUGAUACAAGGUGGUGACCCAACUGGAACAGGCAAAGGAGGAGAAUCAGCUUG